CACAACAACUGCUCAAACCAUAAAUACAAUGGCUGAGUCCACAACUAGAACGGCUCCAACCACAACUACAACUGUUUCAACCACAACUACAACGGCUCCAACAACAACUACAACUGUUCCAACCACAACUUCAACUGCUCCAACCACGACGACAACUGCUCCAACCACAACGACUACAACUGCUCCAACCACAACAACAACUGCUCCAACCACAACUACAACGGCUGCAACCACAACUACAACGGCUCCAACCACAACUUCAACUGCUCCAACCACAACAACUGCUCCAACCACAACGACCACAACUGCUCCAACCAUAACAACCACAACUACUCCAACCACAACGACAACAACUGCUCCAACCACAACAACAACUGCUCAAACCACAACUACAACGCCUCCAACCACAACUACAACUGUUUCAACCACAACUACAACGGCUCCAACAACAACUACAACUGCUCCAACCAUGACAAAAACUGCUCCAACCACAACGAGCACAACUGCUCCAACCACAACAACCACAACUACUCCAACCACAACGACCACAACUAUUCCAACGACGACUACAACUGCUGCAACCACAACAACCACGGCAACAACAGCGACUGUUUCUCCAACCACAACUACAGCUGCCACAACGACAACAGUUGCUCCAACCACAACGACCACAACUGCUCCAAUCACAAGAACAUCUUCAACGACCACAACUGGUGUCACCACAACAGCUUCUCCAAUCAGACCCACUACUUCACCAACCACAACUACAACUGCUCCAACAACAAAUAUGACUCCAACAACGACCACAGUUGCUACAACCGCAACAACAAGCGCUUCCUCCUCUGACAUUAUCCACAAUACAAACUUACUGUUUGUCAUAGCAGUUGCUACAGCAGCCAUUUGGAAUUAAAAAGAGGACUAAUGGACUGACGUUCGGGAAUUCUUCUGCAAGUUCUACAAUAGCUUUUGUUCAUGCUCACAAGACUGUAGGAUUUGCUCUAAUUUAUUCUUAUUUAUCUUAUAAGUUGUGAUCAAUCAUUUUAUGUAUCAUUCUGUACAUGAUUUAGCUUCCAC
ensembl:lncRNA